GUCGCUCAGUUGUGUCUGACUCUGUGCGACCCCAUAGCCGGCAGCCCAUCAGGCUCCUCCGUCCAUGGGAUUUUCCAGGCAAGAGUACCGGAGUGGGGUGCCAUUGCGUUCUCUGGUUUUCUGACCUAGUAACAGGUAAAACUCCCACUUUCCCACUCCAUUUCCUCCAUUCUUUUAUGUCAGCCUAUCUGAUCUUCUGAGAUUUCAGCUUUCCUUCAAAGUAUUACUGAGCAAGGACUCACUACCUAACCCACAUAGAGGCCAAAGUUUGAGCAAAAAAGAGAGCUUUACUGCGAGGUCAACUGACAUCAAUGACAGGACUCCAAAGUCUGUCUCCUGGAUCUGGGUCAUGGGCUUAAAUUUAAAGGGUUAGAGGGAUUUCAAACUUGGAAGCUGAUUGGCUAGUUUUGAAUUAGUCCAUAUGAGUCACUGGUGCUGCUGGAAGCCAGAUUUUCCUUGUCGAAGGACUUCUUAAAGGGCUCCAGUUCUAGUUUUUAUUCCUUGGAUUGAAGGUUCUUGGUUCUGAGACCCUUCAGGAGCCGGGGGUUCCCUCUUGCGCAUGUGCCAUGCGGUUUCUGUAAUAUAACUCCAGUAAAACUUUAUUACACAAAAGCUCUGAGCGAUCAAACCUCAUCACCGGCCCCGGAUUGAAUUCUUUUCCUCCAGAGGCCAAGAGUCCCGGAAUCUUUUGUGGUUCAGCAGCAACCUUUCAUCCUGGGGGCUUAUCCGAAAUUCUUCAGGACAAGAUCUUCUCAGAGUUUUUGGUACAUUGUGCAUCUCCAGGAGGACCACACGAUAUGAAACAUUUCUGAAACAUACUUUCUUAGAAGGCUUUAUUUUUGUGUAAAUCUAGCAUCCUGAGAAUCAUAGUUGGGGACUACUGUGAUGGAAGAAGAUAAGCUGGUACAUGAAACAAGCAAGAAAAUCUUGGCUCACAGAGGAGGGACUUCAGGAAUUCAUCUGGCCAUUUCUCAAUUUUCAUUAAGGAAGGUGCUGUCAAUGACACAAUUCAAGACACAUAUGGAGAACUGAAAAUAGGACCUUGGUCUUCUUUCGUAUAAGACAGCAUUCUACUACAUGGUGAUAUUUUCUGUAAAUGCUUAAAUAAGCAUUGUAAAAAUUGUAUUAACUAUACUCUGUUAACUCUAGUAUGUGAUCUGUAGCACUACAUUUUAUGGCAUUACAUUUACUUUUUGAUUUUUUUCUUUAAAAAGUUUCUGACUUUUUCUUUAUAGAGUAAAUACAAGGUGGUUAGCUUUUAUGGUUGGAAGUUAGCCUAUUUUUAACAAAUUUCCUAAACUACAAGUUCCAUCAGAGUUAAAUAGUUACCUUUUGGUAUACUUUUCUUUUUGUCAUACCCCUACUGAUGUUGAUCCCCAAGUCAUAUUUUAAAGGUUAACUCUCUAUUUUUCUUCAUUUCUAUCUGCUUGGGAUAAUUCUGAAGGACAAAAAGACUUAAACUGAAAUAUGAGUCCUAUCUAUAGUAAUGACUCACUUACUUAAAUUUGGGGGAAAAGAAAUUUCGAGGCAAAUCUUACAUAAGCAUCAUGAGGAUUAAUGGAGUUAAUAUACAUAAAUUGGUUGGAACAUUGCUAGCAUAAACACUAUAUAUAAGAGUUUGUUAAAUAAAUGAAAUAAAAAAUUUCAAAAGCAAGUUAAACAUUGGUGAAGUGAUGACCAUUUCUUAUCUACUCUCCAAUAAAUACAAAUUCCACAGAGGACUCUGAAAGAAUAAGCAGUUUUCUGUUUUUAUAAUAAAGAUAGGAGAGUCUUUUGAUGCUAUUUUUUAUAGGCAAGGAAAAAACUCCCCCAAAUCUCAAAGCUUUAAAUAAAACUAUUU